CCUACGGGUGGCAGCAGUGAGGAAUAUUGGUCAAUGGGCGCGAGCCUGAACCAGCCAAGUAGCGUGAAGGAUGACUGCCCUACGGGUUGUAAACUUCUUUUAUAAAGGAAUAAAGUGAGGCACGUGUGCCUUUUUGUAUGUACUUUAUGAAUAAGGAUCGGCUAACUACGUGCCAGCAGCCGCGGGAAUACGGAGGAUCCGAGCUUUAUCCGGAUUUAUUGGGUUUAAAGGGAGCGUAGAUGGGUUGUUAAGUCAGUUGUGAAAGUUUGCGGCGUAACCGUAAAAUUGCAAUUGAUACUGGCAGCCUUGAGUACAGUUGAGGUAGGCGGAAUUCGUGGUGUAGCGGUGAAAUGCUGAGAUAGCACGAAGAACUCCGAUUGCGAAGGCAGCCUACGAAACUGCCACUGACAGUGAGGCUCGAAAGUGUGGGUAUCAAACAGGAUUAGAUACACCAGUAGUC
rnacentral:rRNA from 1 species